rnacentral:rRNA from 1 species
GACAGCAGUAGCCGCGGGAAUACGUAGGGUGCAAGCGUUAAUCGGAAUUACUGGGCGUAAAGCGUGCGCAGGCGGUUAUAUAAGACAGAUGUGAAAUCCCCGGGCUCAACCUGGGAACUGCAUUUGUGACUGUAUAGCUAGAGUACGGCAGAGGGGGAUGGAAUUCCGCGUGUAGCAGUGAAAUGCGUAGAUAUGCGGAGGAACACCGAUGGCGAAGGCAAUCCCCUGGGCCUGUACUGACGCUCAUGCACGAAAGCGUGGGGAGCAAACAGGAUUAGAUACCCCGGUAGUCCCUGUCUCUUAUAC